GCACAUUUGGGGCGAUUUAGUACUUCCGGAUAGAUUCUGAAAGGACGAGUCGUCUCAGGUAAAGGCCCCAUAAAAUGGAGCUUUUCUGGGUAAAUCCGGUGGGUGCUUCUUCACGACGGAGCUGGCGAUCGAAAGUGCGGCCUAUGGAAAUUGGAGGACCAUUGUUCUUCAAGCUGGCGAUCAGCUUGUGGUGGUCUCUGAUGUGCACACGAAGUGUUUGGCUGGUAUGGAUUUCCGUCAACCUUCAUCGGAGUUCUUGGUCCAGAAGGACCGAGUUCUGAUCCUUCCUGCUUUGGCGGCGUUGAUGCUUGUUUGGAUGGAGUUUCCGCCGUGGGUUCAAGAAGGCCAAACGAGAAGCCACUUCAAGAUUCCUACUCAACGCCAACGGGUAAGGAUCCCGUUGAUUCCGUUCCUAUUCGGAGGAUGUUUCAGGGGCUUUCUUUCUUGGUCAAGGGUUCCCAUUGCUGAAUUCCAAGACUCAAAUUGUGGUUCCUCAGGGCAAAUGAAGAUCCAUUCUAGUUGUCGUGGAGAAGGAAUGCGUUGCUCGUAUUAACAGUAUGCCCCGCCCAUAAAACUUUGGUUUAUGUAUUAUUUUUUUCAUAUGGCUUGUGUUGUAUGUAUUAUUUUUUUCAAAAAAAGAAAUUAGCCUUUACUAAUUAUAACAAAAAAAUACAAGUUCGUCCACAUCACAACAAACCGAAAAAUCUAAUUUUGGAGGGCAAGUGUCUCUCCAUAUGUAAGUGCUGCAUGUAGGUUUGAAAAAAUCCACUUGUAUCUUGGUUGAGAUUGGUGCAUCCUCAAGAUUUUAUAAAUUAAAUUCAUUAAUAAAUGAAAAUUGAGUAGAAAAAAUAACUCAUUUUUCCUAAUAGACUCUAGUUUCUUUAAAAUUUUUCGUAACAUGUCAAAUCAACAGAAUCUUUGUAUUGUUACAUGAUCAAAAACAUUCUGAUGAUUCUGAUAAAAACAGAAUCUUUGUAUCUAGUUAUGAGCAACAUGAUUUUGUAUGGUUGAAUGGUGAAAUGUUUGAUCUUUAAUAAUUAUUGGAGGUAUGCUAGUGGAGAAUCUAAUUAUUCUGAUGAAGGUUUUACUUAAUGGUCGGAGCCAGUGUGCCAGCCGGCCUGUCACGGACAAAUUUCUAAACAAGGUGUUUGAUGUAAUGCUUAUAUCUGUCCGUAUCUAUUGGCAUGUUCAUGCCUUGUACAACAUGUAAAGGGGCGGGCGAAGGCUUAAUAGUCCCAUUUUAGUUGGGUUGGUGGCCUCUUUAGGCUUGUAAAUAAAGGUUGUGUCAUGUAGACACGUGCGAGAGCUUUUCGGUCUGUAAUGGACCAUUUUACCCUUUGUUGUGCCACUGUUCAGAGCUUGUAAAGUCUGUUUGUAAUUUGCUUUGUCUAUGAAGUGUUUUUCGGACA